rnacentral:rRNA from 1 species
UACAGAGGCCUCGAGCGUUAGGCGGAAUCACUGGGCUUAAAGCGUGUGUAGGUGGAUGCCUAAGUACCUUGUGAAAUCCCAUGGCUUAACCAUGGAAUUGCUUGGUAUACUGGGUGUCUUGAGCCACUCAGGGGCGAGCGGAACAAACGGUGGAGCGGUGAAAUGCGUAGAUAUCGGAAGGAACGCCGGUGGCGAAAGCGGCCUGCUGGACCUCUUCUGACGCUGAGGCGCGAAAGCCAGGGGAGCGAACGGG